CCCUAGUAUUAAUUUAAUUAAUUGAUUAGUAUAUAAUUGAAAUUUAAUAAUUCUGGCGGUUAAUAAUAAAUUUAGAGGAGCUUGUUGUGUUAGUAAUUACUCUUUAGAUUUUAUUAAUUAAUUGUUUAUUCAUCUCCGUUAUUAGAUUCAAGGUUUGAUAUUUAAUAAGAUGAUAAAACUUAUAUUUCAGGUCAAGAUGUAGCUUUAGAUUAAUGAAAAUUAGCUACAAUUAUGGAAUAAUUGGAUAUAUUUAUGAUAGAGUAGGAUAGAAAUUGAAUUUAAUUGUAGCAUUAAUUAGAAAGUUAAUGCGAAAGAAGAAUUAAUGUA
rnacentral:rRNA from 1 species